AAAAAAUAUUUUUACAUUGUUUUAUUCUUUGUGUGCGGUUGAUGUGAUGAUAUUUUGACUCAACAUGUAUAUCACUUAUUAGUUAUAACUGACGCUGAAAUUUAACAUUACAACUAUAAAAACAAUAUUGUUUUCGUUUCAAGAGUGCAUGCAUAUUGAUUUUAAUUAGGUUAUCGCUCAAUUUUAAGUUAAUUUGUUAUCUUAAUCUAAAGAACGUGGUACAACAAGUAUUCUAGACACAUUUUGCCGCCUAAUUUUCAUCAGGAAUGAACAGUCGAACUCCAUUGAUAAUUUAUUAUAAGAUAUAACAUUUUUAAUUUACAAACACAUACGUUAUACAGUGAAAACAUAUUGCAUUACAAUGUAAAAGUUACAUGUCACACUUAAAUGUAAUUUGAAAUCGGUGGUCAUGAAGACACAUCCCGUUGAUAAUUAGAGAGAGGCCUUCCAUUAAAUUUGCAAUACAUGAUAAACCAUGUAUGUUUUAAUAGUAAAUUUGGUUUUAUUGUUGUACAUCUGUCUGGAACAAAGAAACACCAAGUUUUACCAUUACUCAAACUUUAAAAAAAUAUUAAAAUGACUUUCAAGCAUUUGAAACGUUUCUGUAUUAAAAAAUGAAUACAUGUUACGAAAACAACGUAAAAACAUUUUAAACACAUCGUCUCCAUCUUUGAUUUAGCAACCCAAUGAAUUUAUUUUGAGAUCCCCUGUGUCUUUCAAUGUCAUUUAAUAUCUAGGCAAUUCGACCAAAUCAGAGCAUUACAUCUGUCAAAAACCAAUCUUAAUUCAGCAAGAAAAAUGGUUAAGGAAAGACAAUAUUUUCAUUUUAACGGCAAAAAUUUGGAUACUACCUUGAUAUCAUGCUUCUGAUUUGCAUAAUUUAAAAGAAGAUAAUUUUGAAUUCAAUCAAAUAACAUGCACAAUUAUAAAAGUGGAUCACAGUUACUGCUUAUUAUAACUUUUAUAACACAAUGUUUGUAUAUCAUGUUUAUAAUGCACAUAUGGUAACACAAUCACGCAUGAAUUGUUAUUUAAAUAAAAUCGUAAACGAU
rnacentral:misc_RNA from 1 species